GGAGGGGUCGAGGGUUGAAAGGAGGAAAGGGAGAGUGUAGGCAGGCAAGAGGGAAGAGAAAUUGGACAGAGACAAUGUGAAAACACAGACAGCAGAGGAAGGCUCGGGAGAGACAACACACAGAAAUGACAAACACUGAAAACAUGCUUGCUGAGAGAGAUAACCAUUGAAAGAUGUACGAGAAGGAAGCUGCUUGCAUGAGUAUGAGGGCUGCAGGGUGAUGCUGGGGCAGAAGCAUGGCCUCUGCUAUUCUGCAGCGAAUGUCUCCGGCUGCGUCUUCUCUCCAGGCCACGCCUCUCGUUAGUACCACCAACACUGGCCCGUCGGCGGUCCUUGCGGCCACUGGGAGGCAACUGGGUUUCAUCGUCUCCGUCCUCAUGGCGGAGAGUCAUCUGGAUCAAAGAAAUUACAGAGAAACUGAGUAAAUAAACUGUAUUCCAAAAAAUAUGAAAAGGGUCAAAAAUCUCAAAAAUUAAAGUCACAUUCCACUUGUUUAUUUGGCUCACAUCACAAUAGAAAAAUGCUCAUGGAUAAAUAAAAUGUAUGUUUGUUGUUCAUAAAGACUUAAUUUCUGGCUGCUGUAUGAGUACGUGAGAAGUCAUGUAACCUACAACCUAUUAUGAGACACACAUGCCUAUUAACAUUAAGGCUGGUUAUGUGAUACUGUGGGCAGUGAAGGCUUCCUCACCUCGUAAAUGUUGAACUGUUCUACGAGGUCGAGGUCAGUGCCUUUCCUGCUCAGGUGUCUCUGGGCCAUGGCUUCGAUGCCCUGCUCCUCCAGAAAGUCCACCAUGUCAUAGUAUGAGUCCUGGUCUGGGAGGCCUGCCAGAGUCUGAAACACAAACGCAUUCAAUAAAAAAAAUAUGGUAAGAGUUCUAACCUUGUCUCUGCAAUAUUUUAGAUUAACUGUGCGAGAAAAAAAUAAAUUGGAACUAUAAAGAAGGAUCACCUGAGAGACAAAAAGGGAGUAAAAUUACUUCUGAAGCCGUUUUGUUUAAAUCUUGUAUUGAAAUGUAAUCUGUAUGCUAUAUAAAUAAACUUCAAUCAGUACUA